ACGUUUAUGAACCAUUCAUUUAUAUUCGAAGUUUAGCAAAAAUUAUAGAUUAUUAUUAUAUUUUUGAGGUUUUAAGCAAGAAUAUAUCAAAGAAAUGUUAUUUGACUAUUGAAAUUGAAGAAAGUUGAAUUUUGAAAUGGGUUUGUAAUUUAGAGCUUAAAUCUUUGAUCUAUUGUAUGUAUAUGAUAUAAAACACCUUAUUUGUGAUUUAUUAUAGUGAGAUAUGAAGUUAAGGUUAGAUUUUGGUAUUUAUAAGCAAUUUUCAUGCAAAAUUCAUGUGCAGUUGUUAAUUCUAAAAAUCUGCCCAGAAUAGCGCUAAUUCUGUCAAAGGUUUUGCUGCCAGAUUUCAAUAUUAUGGGGUUUUGGUGCUUUUUUGUCAAAACUCACAUUUUCAGAUUUUUAAAGGUUUAAAUGAAGUUAUAUGAAAAGUGUUGAAGUUUACGUAUUGGAAUAAAUUAUGUAUAGGGCUUAUAUGUGUAUAAGUUAUUGAUUUUAAGUGUGAGUAAUUUAAUGGAAUUGAUAAUAAAUGGUGAUUAGUUGAUAAAUCAUUAGAGAAGAGAAAAGUUGGGAAAUUGGAGAUCUAAGAGAAAAUAUAGAAAUUGAGAAAUUGAGAGGUAGAAUUGUAUUAAUUUAAUUGUAAAAAAUUUGAGCAAUUAUACUGUUAUUUCAGGUAGGGACAUAAAAACUUGGAAUGACUUGUCAAUUUAGCCAGAUUUCUAUCUAUGGAUCUGUGAGUGGAAAAAAUAUAAAUGUUUUUAAAGUAUUUAUGAAUUAGGUAUAUUAUCAAAGUAUGUGUAAUUAUGUCUUCGAAUUAUAUGGUUAUUACAGAAAUAUCUUUUAUUAUAAUACAUGUAAGAUUUCAACGAUUGUAUACGGUAUAUUGUGAAUUGGAAUAUGAGAUGUGACUUUAAGAUCGACCAGAAAAGUACUUGUGAUUAUAUAUUUUUUCUAGUUCACAAAGGGGCUUUGGCCGUAUUCUAUCCUAUACGAAGGGGUCUUGACCUGACAUUGAUCUUGAUCGUGUACAUAUAGUUCAUAGAGGGGCUUUGACAGUGUUCUAGAAUUGAUUAUCAGAGGUUUUGAGACUAGUUUUCGUUCACGGAGGGGAUCAAAAGGCCUGUGGCGAAAGUUCUUAGCCCGAUGGGCGGAUUAUAGAUUUUAGUCGGAGAGUACAUUUUUUAUGGAUCACAUGUAAUGUGAUGAGAUGAUGGUAUAGAUAUCAGCUGAUGAUUAUAUCGUGGAUAUGAGAUGAUAUUUACAAAGUUAUAAGAAUGUCUCUUUUUUUUGGCUAUUAUCGUGUGAAUUACUAAACGACAUGAACUUGAUGUUGGAUAAAAAUAUUUAAAUGAGAAAGUAUAAUUAUUUUCGAACUUUUCCACUCACUGAGUUAUAAAUUCAUAUUUUCCACGAUCUUUCUUAUAGGUAGUAUUGGUCCCUAAUAGCUUGAGGAGCCUGGUGGUUUUAGAAUUAGAGCCACACGACAUAUUGAGUAAUACGAUUCAUUUUCGUAAAACAUGAAGUAAUCGUUUCGAACCCAUUGCAUUAUAUUUUUCAUAAAUAUUUGAUUUUGGUGCAUAUUUUGUAAUAAGUCAUAGUCAGCCUUGGUGGUGGAUUUAACAUCUAGUUAGCAUCUAUUA
rnacentral:lncRNA from 1 species